GGGGAGGUUCAGAUUGGAUAUUAGGAAUCAUUUCUUCUCAGCAAGAGCAGUGAGGCAGCGGCACAGGCUGCCCAGGGAGGUGGUGGAGUCACCGUCCCUGGAGGUGUUCAAGAGCCGUGUGGAUGUGGCACUGAGGGACGUGGGCAGUGGGCGUGGUGAGGGUGGGCUGACAGUUGGACUGGGUGAUCUCAGAGGUCUUUUCCAACCUUAACAAUUCUAUGAUUCUAUGGUUCCCCCUCAAGUUGGUGAUAACUUGCAUUUCAGAAUUCACUUGCAUGUGCAUGUACCAACUGGGGCCACUUACAGGAUGCUGAAAAUGGGUCAGCAAUGCAAGAUUCACUAUGAGAAUCCUCAGAUUUUGGUGCGAGGGGAAGAAGGUGUGGGUUCUACUGUAAGCAGUGGAGCUGACUCCAAUGUGAAGGGUCUGAGUGGUGCCAGGCUCCUUUGUAGCAGGCUCCCUGCAGCUUCCCCAGCCAUCCUUCAGUCCUGCAUAUAUGGGGAGGAGAAAAGACUCUGUCUGGUUGGUUUUUUUUUCACACAAACUUGCC
ensembl:lncRNA